GGACACUCGGUGGCAGGGGGCGGGGGAAUACGGAGGGUGGAAGAGUUGAUCGGAAUUACAGGGCGUAAAGGGUGCGUGGGCGGUUAUUUAAGUCCGCCGGGAAAUCUCCGGGCGCUACCUGGGAAUUGCUGUGGGUACUGGAGAGCUAGAGUGUGUCAGAGGAUGGUGGAAGUCCCUGUGGAGCGGUGAAAUGCGUAGAGAUCGGGAGGAACAUCAGUGGCGAAGGCGGCCAUCUGGGACAACACUGACGCUGAAGCACGAAAGCGUGGGGAGCAAACAGGAUUAGAUACCCGUGUAGUC
rnacentral:rRNA from 1 species